CAUGGGCGUAGGUUAAAUCUUGUCCCAUCCCGGCGCAAAUUAGGAGCAAACAGCGAUCAAGUAGCAAGCGCUGAGGUUUGUAUAAAUACCCAUCUUGAAAAUUCUUCAAGCCUGUUUUAAAAUGGAAGGAAGCGAGAGCGUGUUGGAAGCAAUCUACGAGGAAGAAGAAGAACAAACCCUGGAAGAAGGAGAACUAGAACCAUACACGGAAGAUGCCGAGAUGCUCGAUGCGGAAACCCUAGAUAGAGAUCAUGACGAGAAAAUUUCAGCCAUCGAUCUGAUGAAGGACGGUGAUGAUAAAACAAGGAAGCAAGAACCUCGGAGCAAGAACUGGAGACGGAGGGCGAAGAAGAAGAAUAAGAAGAACAAGAACAGCCGACCCGCUUCGAACAUUGCCGACAUUAACAGGUUUGUUAUAGAUACCUGUAGGAACUUGAAGGAGAAGAAAUCAUACUUGGUUUGGAAUGCUGUUGGUGUCCUGGGUGCUUCUGUUGUAAGCGAUCUCGUCAAAGAGGUGGAUACAAUUCAGGGUUUUGGUGGCCAGUUAACCACUGAUGGCAAGCGUUUCCGCACAGGUGGCGGUAUAUUGUGGAACAUUCUGAAAACACGCGAACCAAGGGCCUACAAAGAAAUAAUGGCAAGGGGAAAGGAGUUUGAGAAGCAAUUCAGGCAAAAAAACAUUAGACAGAUGCCAAAAGAAAGCAUAGAAGACUCUUCUCAGAAAAUUGGACAUGCAUCUGAUGGGGUUGGAGACCAAGUUCCGGGGAGUUCUCAGCCAUCAUCAGAAGUAAAACAUGAACAUGCACUUUCAGAUUCUGAUGGGGGACGCGUAUCUGCUUUGAAAAGGAUUCGAGUCCCUGUUUCUUACGAUGACCUGUUUGGAGAAAACAUGAAAGAUCAACGAACCUGAGUUUCCCGAAACAAAUGGAGACACACCACAGUAUAAGGAAUCACAUUUCCUUUUGGCUCGGAUAUAUUUCUGGGAUGCUCUUCUUUAUAACAGAUAAAGAUAAGGUAUUGUUUGACAAAGGGUGCGUCUGGUUGAUUUGGUGCAACCAGAUGCACUCUCAAGCACAAAUUUGACAACUCAAUGAUACAACAACAGAUGAUUCAGGCUUUUACCCAAAUUAACAGAAGAUUUGAAUGUUUCUGUAGGAUUUUUCCGUUGAUGUAUCCAGGCCUGGAAAUUUCAGGAACGGCUUGAGGGUUUCCUCCAUAAAACAACUCAGGUUUGCUUUGAAAGAAGUUUGUUAGAAGGCUCUCCCGUGCUUGCCCCUUCCACCCACCACAUGAUGAUCCACACCAUUCAUCUAGAAGAUCCUAAUGUAUGGUCAACAUGUAAAGCAAUCUUGCUGAUUGGAGAUCAUCACCGUUGAUGCUAAAGUGAGAUUAGGAACUAUUUUUCUGGAGUAUUUUUUCCCCUCUCACAUAGGAACCAUUUGGUGGGGACUUCCAGAUGGAUGGUCUACAUCACACACGGUGGGGCAGCAGGGGCAAGCAGAUAGAGCAAGCUUCAAGCAGGAGCUACGCUGACAAAUCUCCCUUUGAAAUGCAUGUAUUUAGCUUACUUUACAUGAGUUGGGUAGCAUAUCAUGAUUGCCUAGUAUUUUCAUGUACUUUCGGCUUUCAACAAAUGAAUGGUAUCUAAGCUACUCUGAAA